rnacentral:rRNA from 1 species
CCUACGGGCUGCUGCAGUGGGGAAUAUUGGACAAUGGGCGAAAGCCUGAUCCAGCCAUGCCGCGUGUGUGAAGAAGGCCUUCGGGUUGUAAAGCACUUUCAGUGGGGAAGAAAGCCUUGGGGCUAAUACCCUCGAGGAAGGACAUCACCCACAGAAGAAGCACCGGCUAACUCCGUGCCAGCAGCCGCGGUAAUACGGAGGGUGCGAGCGUUAAUCGGAAUUACUGGGCGUAAAGCGCGCGUAGGCGGUCUGAUAAGCCGGUUGUGAAAGCCCCGGGCUCAACCUGGGAACGGCAUCCGGAACUGUCAGGCUAGAGUGCAGGAGAGGAAGGUAGAAUUCCCGGUGUAGCGGUGAAAUGCGUAGAGAUCGGGAGGAAUACCAGUGGCGAAGGCGGCCUUCUGGACUGACACUGACGCUGAGGUGCGAAAGCGUGGGUAGCAAACAGGAUUAGAUACCCCUGUAGUC